rnacentral:rRNA from 1 species
GGGCCCGCACAAGCGGUGGAGUAUGUGGUUUAAUUCGAUGAUACGCGAGGAACCUUACCUGGGCUCGAAUGGAUUUGGACAAUUCCUGAAAGGGAAUCUCUCUUCGGAGCCGAAUUCAAGGUGCUGCAUGGUUGUCGUCAGCUCGUGCCGUGAGGUGUUGGGUUAAGUCCCGCAACGAGCGCAACCCCUAUUCUUAGUUACCAGCACGUAAUGGUGGGGACUCUAGGAAGACUGCCGGCGUAAGCCGCGAGGAAGGUGGGGAUGACGUCAAAUCAUCAUGGCCUUUAUGCCCAGGGCUACACACGUGCUACAAUGGAGGGUACAGAGGGUCGCGAAGCCGCGAGGUGGAGCCAAUCUCACAAAGCCCUUCCCAGUUCGGAUUGGAGUCUGCAACUCGACUCCAUGAAGUUGGAAUCGCUAGUAAUCGCGCAU